rnacentral:rRNA from 1 species
GAUUGAACGCUGGCGGCAUGGAUUAGGCAUGCAAGUCGAACGAGACGCCACCUUCGGGUGGCUGACAGUGGCGCAAGGGUGAGUAACACGUGAGCAACCUGCCCCCGAGUUCGGAAUAGUUCGCGGAAACGCGGAGUAAUACCGGAUGCGGAGAUUUAGGCCGCAUGGCCUUCCUCUCCAAAGUUUUUCGCUCGGGGAUGGGCUCGCGCCCCAUUAGCUUGUUGGCGAGGUAACGGCUCACCAAGGCUACGACGGGUAGGUGGUCUGAGAGGACGAUCACCCACACCGGGACUGAGACACUGCCCGGACUCCUACGGGAGGCUGCAGUCGAGAAUCUUCCGCAAUGGGCGCAAGCCUGACGGAGCGAUGCCGCGUGGGGGAUGAAGGCCUUCGGGUCGUAAACCCCUGUCAGAUGGGACGAAUUUUGACGGUACCAUCAGAGGAAGCCACGGCUAACUACGUGCCAGCAGCCGCGGUAAUACGUAGGUGGCGAGCGUUAAUCGGAUUUACUGGGCGUAAAGGGUCCGUAGGGGGUCUGUCAAGUCGGGUGUGAAAUCCUGCGGCUCAACCGCGGAACUGCACUCGAUACUGGCGGGCUUGAGUCCGCGAGGGGUGAACGGAAUUCCUGGUGUAGCGGUGGAAUGCGUAGAUAUCAGGAAGAACACCGAUGGCGAAGGCGGUUCACUGGCGCGGUACUGACCCUGAGGGACGAAAGCAUGGGUAGCGAACAGGAUUAGAUACCCUGGUAGUCCAUGCCGUAAACGUUGUGCGCUAGAUGUGGGGGGUCUGAUCCCCUCCGUGUCCAAGCUAACGCGAUAAGCGCACCGCCUGGGGACUACGGUCGCAAGGUUAAAACUCAAAGGAAUUGACGGGGACCCGCACAAGCGGUGGAGCAUGUGGUUUAAUUCGAUGCAACGCGAAGAACCUUACCUGGUCUUGACAUACACGGAACUUUCCAGAGAUGGAUUGGUGCCUUCGGGAACCGUGAUACAGGUGCUGCAUGGCUGUCGUCAGCUCGUGUCGUGAGAUGUUGGGUUAAGUCCCGUAACGAGCGCAACCCUUAUCCUUAUUUGCCAGCACAUCAUGGUGGGAACUAUAAGGAGACUGCCGGUGAUAAACCGGAGGAAGGCGGGGACGACGUCAAGUCAUCAUGGCCCUUACGACCAGGGCUACACACGUGCUACAAUGGGAAGGACAAAGGGUUGCUAAGCCGCGAGGUGGUGCUAAUCUCAUAAACCUUUUCGUAGUCCGGAUCGGAGUCUGCAACUCGACUCCGUGAAGUCGGAAUCGCUAGUAAUCGUGGAUCAGAACGCCACGGUGAAUACGUUCCCGGGUCUUGUACACACC